rnacentral:rRNA from 1 species
GACGAAGGGGGCUAGCGUUGUUCGGAAUCACUGGGCUUAAAGGGCGCGUAGGCGGCCGCACAAGUCAGGGGUGAAAUCUUUCGGCUCAACCGGAAAAGUGCCUCUGAUACUGUGCGGCUCGAGGGAGGUAGGGGCGGACGGAACUUCCGGUGGAGCGGUGAAAUGCGUUGAUAUCGGAAGGAACGCCGGUGGCGAAAGCGGUCCGCUGGCCCUCUACUGACGCUGAGGCGCGAAAGCCAGGGGAGCAAACGGG